UACCAGCUCUCCGAGUGGUAGGGAUGAUUAUUGGGCUUAAAGCGUCCGUAGCUGGCCUUUCAAGUCUCUCGUUAAAUCCAGCGAUUUAAUCGUUGGACUGCGGGAGAUACUGUUAGGCUAGGAGACGGGAGAAGCCGACGGUAUUUUCGGAGUAGGGGUAAAAUCCUAUAAUCCCGGGAAGACCACCAGUGGCGUAGGCGGUCGGCUAGCACGCGCUCGACGGUGAGGGACGAAAGCUGGGGGAGCGAACCGGAUUAGAUACCCGGGUAGUCCCAGCUGUAAACGAUGCGGACUAGGUGUUGGAGCGGCUACGAGCCGCUUCAGUGCCGCAGGGAAGCCAUUAAGUUCGCCGCCUGGGGAGUACGGCCGCAAGGCUGAAACUUAAGGAAUUGGCGGGGGAGCACCACAAGGGGUGAAGCUUGCGGUUU
rnacentral:rRNA from 1 species